AAUAUUGGACAAUGGGGGCAACCCUGAUCCAGCCAUGUCGCGUGUGUGAAGAAGGACUUCGGUUUGUAAAGCACUUUAAGUUGGGAGGAAGGGCUUUAGGUUAAUACCCUGCAGUUUUGAUGUUACCAACAGACUAAGCAUAGGCUAACUCAGUGCCAGACGCCGCGGUAAUACAGAGGGUGCAAGCGUUAAUCGGAAUUACUUGGCGUAAAGCGCGCUUAGUUGGUUCAAUAAAAUGGGUGUGAAAUCCCCGGGCUUAACCUGGGAACUGCUUUCAGAACUGCUGAGCUAGAGUACUGUAGAGGGUAGUGGAAUUUCCUGUGUAACGGUGAAAUGCGUAGAUAUAAGAAGGAACACCAGUGGCGAAGGCGACUACCUGGACUGAUACUGACACUGAGGUGCGAAAGCGUGGGGAGCAAAC
rnacentral:rRNA from 1 species